rnacentral:rRNA from 1 species
AGAGUUUGAUCCUGGCUCAGGAUGAACGCUAGCGGCAGGCUUAACACAUGCAAGUCGAGGGGCAUCGGGAGGGAAGCUUGCUUUCCUUGCCGGCGACCGGCGCACGGGUGAGUAACACGUAUGCAACCUGCCCUCUUCAGGGGGACAACCUUCCGAAAGGGAGGCUAAUCCCGCGUAUAUCGGUUUCGGGCAUCCGAGAUCGAGGAAAGAUUCAUCGGAAGAGGAUGGGCAUGCGGCGCAUUAGCUAGACGGCGGGGUAACGGCCCACCGUGGCGACGAUGCGUAGGGGUUCUGAGAGGAAGGUCCCCCACACUGGUACUGAGACACGGACCAGACUCCUACGGGAGGCAGCAGUGAGGAAUAUUGGUCAAUGGGAGAGAUCCUGAACCAGCCAAGCCGCGUGAGGGAAGACGGCCCUAUGGGUUGUAAACCUCUUUUGUCGGAGAACAAAACCCGGGACGUGUCCCGGACUGCGUGUAUCCGAAGAAAAAGCAUCGGCUAACUCCGUGCCAGCAGCCGCGGUAAUACGGAGGAUGCGAGCGUUAUCCGGAUUUAUUGGGUUUAAAGGGUGCGUAGGCGGUCCGUUAAGUCAGCGGUAAAAUUGCGGGGCUCAACCCCGUCGAGCCGUUGAAACUGGCAGACUUGAGUUGGCGAGAAGUACGCGGAAUGCGCGGUGUAGCGGUGAAAUGCAUAGAUAUCGCGCAGAACUCCGAUUGCGAAGGCAGCGUACCGGCGCCAGACUGACGCUGAGGCACGAAAGCGUGGGGAUCGAACAGGAUUAGAUACCCUGGUAGUCCACGCAGUAAACGAUGAAUGCUGGUUGUCCGGGUCGAAUGAGACCUGGGCGGCGAAGCGAAAGCGAUAAGCAUUCCACCUGGGGAGUACGCCGGCAACGGUGAAACUCAAAGGAAUUGACGGGGGCCCGCACAAGCGGAGGAACAUGUGGUUUAAUUCGAUGAUACGCGAGGAACCUUACCCGGGCUCAAACGGGAGUGGAAUGGACCAGAGACGGUUCAGCCUACGGGCCGCUUCCGAGGUGCUGCAUGGUUGUCGUCAGCUCGUGCCGUGAGGUGUCGGCUUAAGUGCCAUAACGAGCGCAACCCCCGCCGGCAGUUGCUAACGGGCAAUGCCGAGGACUCUGCCGGGACUGCCGCCGCAAGGCGUGAGGAAGGCGGGGACGACGUCAAAUCAGCACGGCCCUUACGUCCGGGGCGACACACGUGUUACAAUGGGCGGUACAGCGGGAAGCCAGGCGGCGACGCCGAGCGGAACCCGAAAGCCGUUCUCAGUUCGGAUCGGAGUCUGCAACCCGACUCCGUGAAGCUGGAUUCGCUAGUAAUCGCGCAUCAGCCAUGGCGCGGUGAAUACGUUCCCGGGCCUUGCACUCACCGCCCGUCA